rnacentral:tRNA from 1 species
GGAGAGAUGACCGAGUUGGCCGAAGGUGCACGACUGGAAAUCGUGUGUGUAGUUUAUAGCUGCACCGUGGGUUCGAAUCCCACUCUCUCCGCCA